rnacentral:rRNA from 1 species
AUUGAACGCUGGCGGCAGGCUUAACACAUGCAAGUCGAGCGGGGUGAUGGUGCUUGCACUAUCACUUAGCGGCGGACGGGUGAGUAAUGCUUAGGAAUCUGCCUAUUAGUGGGGGACAACAUCUCGAAAGGGAUGCUAAUACCGCAUACGUCCUACGGGAGAAAGCAGGGGAUCACUUGUGACUUUGGGCUACUAGAUGAGCCUAGGUCGGAUUAGCUAGUGGGUGGGGUAAAGGCCUACCAAGGCGACGAUCUGUAGCGGGUCUGAGAGGAUGAUCCGCCACACUGGGACUGAGACACGGCCCAGACUCCUACGGGAGGCAGCAGUGGGGAAUAUUGGACAAUGGGGGGAACCCUGAUCCAGCCAUGCCGCGUGUGUGAAGAAGGCCUUAUGGUUGUAAAGCACUUUAAGCGAGGAGGAGGCUCUUUUGGUUAAUACCCAAGAUGAGUGGACGUUACUCGCAGAAUAAGCACCGGCUAACUCUGUGCCAGCCGCCGCGGUAA